CUCACCUCCGUGGCCAGGCAGUCAGAGACCGAGAAGGCUGAGUCUGCAGAGGAGUGUGGGCCACAUGUUGCUCUCCAGCCUGCUGAGGGUGUCUGUGGCCUUCAUCUACUUCGGAUCCAGUGCGGCCCAGACAGUUACUCAAGCUCAGUCAGCCCUGUGGAGGCCGGAGGGGGAAGCUGUCACCCUGGACUGCUCCUAUGACACUAGUCAGAGCUCGUACUCACUUUAUUGGUAUAAGCAGCUUCCUAGUGGAGACAUGAUUUCCCUGAUUCGUCAGCAUUCUUUCGAACAGAGCACACAGAGUGAUCGCUAUUCUGUCAACUUCCAGAGAAAAGCUAAGUCCAUGAGCCUCACCAUUUCAGCCUUACAGAUGGGAGAUUCUGCGAAGUACUUCUGUGCUUUAAAAGACCACGGUGUUUAA